GCGACCCCAGGUCAGGCGGGACUACCCGCUGAGUUUAAGCAUAUAAAUAAGCGGAGGAGAAGAAACU
rnacentral:rRNA from 3 species